AGUUCAGACUGACACCAUCCUCUCAUCUAAACAUGUUGCUCUGCAGUAAUGUUUCACUUUAACUUGGUCGAUCUUCGUCGAAAUGUAAGGAACAUGUUUUAUUUAGUAACAUAUUGAGGACAUCUUGUAAUACACGUGAAUCCGUGGGCUCACAUCCGGGGCCCGAAUCAUAUUCAAGUUAAACCGGUACACAAAAUACGGUGGAUAAUACCAGCGAUCAUUUAAAACAUUCUAGAGACAUCAUCAGCAUAUCUGCUAAUAUAAUCCUGAAGACAGAAAGGUUCAACAGCGUUAUGGAUACCGGGAUUGUUUGAUUGACUUGGAGGAGGAAAACUAUACACUGUUUACAAGUUUAAAGGUCGUUGAUACUAUUGUUGAUGAAACUACUGUAAAAACUGACAUAAUUGGAACAGGAUACUCGAUUAAUGUUACAAACAAAGCCAAAGAUAUGUCGACAUUUGAAGAAAACCUGCCGAUUGUCGGAGUGAAUGAUUUAGCUAACACUGUUGCAGAAGGAUACUUGGAGAAGAAACGCAAAGAAAAAAAGUUCCGGAGUGAAAAGUUACAGAAGAGGUGGUGCGUCAUCCAGGAUAAUAACUUCUACUAUUUCGUCAAACCUAAUGAUCUGAAACAGAAAGGGAGCUUCAGCCUCAAAGGUUAUUCGUUCCAUAGGCUUGGUGACCUGUCAUUCUCUGUUGUGUGUGAAGGGAGAAGACAUUAUGAGUUUGUAGCGCCUUCAAAAGAAGAAGCAGAGAAAUGGAGAAAGGCUAUUGUGAAAGCAAGUGCAUCAAAGAAAGUGUUAAGAAAAAGUGAUAGCUGCCCUGGCAUCGAUCCGACACCUCCAGUAUCGCCUACACGGGAUCGCUCCGUCAGUAUUCCUUCAGAUAGCAAAUCCGUGGGAAUACCGCCGAAAAUAAAGGCCCGAUCGCACACUCCGGAUCCUUUCGGUAAGAGUCCAAACUUGAAUUCGCGAGACAGAUCAAACACACUUGGAAGAGAAGGUCGAAGUGAAACUCGGCCUAAUCCACGAAGCGCCCUACUCAAGAAAACACAAUCCUCGCCAUACACUGACAAAAGUUUUAAACCAACACUAGUCUCUACAAAGAAACAAAGUGUAGAUGAGUACGGUUAUGCAAAAGUUAAAGCCAGUAAGGGGAGCCACUCCUCUUUAGAUAGAUUGGAAAAGAAUGAAACCAUUAGGACUCAACAUUGGUGUAGCAGUAGUGAGGACAGCGACUCAGAUUACGAUACUGUUGACCCCGUGCGUCCAAUACCAAUCCCACGGUCUAAACCAGUUCAAAACAUCUUAUCCAGGCCGGGACUAGAAAAUCAAAGAAACCUUUCUCUUAAUAGGCGGCAAAUGCCUGUUCCACCUCCGAAGUCUAACAGUCCAGUUAGUAGUGAUGACGAAGAAGAAUACGACAUCCCGGAUGAAUCACUUCUCCGUCCUGAAUCGGAUUAUGACAUUGCUGGAAAUUAUCUUCGCAAGAAAAAAGAAAAUCUUGUCAAAACAGAUAGUGCAAAAGAAGAUUACAUCAAUGCAUCAAAAUUAAAGUUAAAGUCAAAUCAGCUUACCACAUCGUCAUGUAAACUAGAUAUUAAACAAGAUAUGGACAAAUCUCGUUAUGGUAUACCGACGGAUGAAACUGUGCGAACAGAUCAGGAAGAAGAAGAAGAAGAAGAAGAGUAUUAUAUGGAUACAUCAAAAAUAGCUACUUUGCCGAAUACGAAAAGAAGACAGAAGACAACAACUGAUCUAGCCGCAGUCACCAGUAAACUCAACAGUAUCCCAGUUCAAGACGAUGUAUAUAUCGAGCAUUCUUCUGGACCUCUUCUAAUGAAUUCUGACGACAGCGAAUCUCUUUAUUUUAUUCCGAUGGAUGAAACUGUGCAUUUGCAAAAUGCCGAACCUACUCACUGUCAACCGGAAUUCGAGGAAGAAAACCCAUACUUCGAACCUGUCUCCGACGUGGUAGAAUCAAGUCAAACACCAGAAUUGCAAAUGGCGAUAGCUAGAAGCACAUCUGUAGAGGGAAGCACUGCAAUAAGUCACGCAUCGAAUAAACUACCUCGAACGCCCAGUCGAAAUAGUGAUGGUUAUUCCAAACCUGAGGAUGUCGCACUUCUUAAACGUAAGCCAUCAGCAUCAGAUACCAAAAAGAGCAAUCUCUUCACUGACGACUCGGUCAUAUAUGUUAAUCUUCCAUGUGUCAUGUCAGAAACCUCGCAGAGUAAACAGACGGCGCGGCAAGACCAUGUCCACUCUAGCACAAAGAAACUGCACAAUGCGAAACUGAAAGAUAGUGUAGAUGAUAGUAGUUAUUCUGAUUCUGAUGACUAUGACUACAGUGAGUAUUAACGUUGGAUAUGAAGCAUCCUGUUUAUCUUGACGAUGGACAUGAUGCAAACGGCGAGGGUAGGCUAUGUUAAACAUGUGCGGUUAACACAAUUUGAUAUUUAAAUAGGUUCGCUGUUUUACACAAAGUGAGAGCACUUUACUACGAGUGCUGUAGUGAUAACAUGUAGAGCAAAUAUUACUAUUUGAGUGCCGUGUUCAAAGUGCUGUCUAGUAGACGACAAUGGAUAAGCGUGCAACAGACAAUUCACUACUUAUGUAAAAGUGUCAAAGUUCUAGCGUGAGUAGACAAUGGAUUAUGUGUGUCGAGGUGUUAACAAAAGUGACCAACGGUUAACUAGGUGUGUCGAGGUGUUAACGCUAGUAACAGACAGUUAACUAUGUGUGUCGAGGUGUUAACACAAGUGACCAACAGUUAACUAGGUGUGUCGAGGUGUUAACGCUAGUAACAGACAGUUAACUAGGUGUGUCGAGGUAUUAAAGCUAGUAACAGACAGUUAACUAGGUGUGUCGAGGUGUUGGCGCUAGUAACAGACAGUUACCUGGGUGUGUCGAGGUGUUGGCGCUAGUAACAGACAGUUACCUGGGUGUGUCGAGGUGUUAACGCUGGUGACAGACAGUUACCUAGGUAUGUCGAGGUAUCAGCGUAGAUGUUAAUGCAAGUAACAGACAAUUAACUUGGUAAGUUGAGGUGUUAACGCGUAUUACAGACAAUGGACAUGGUGUUUCAAUGUGUUAGCGUGAGUGACAGACAAAACAAAUGGACUAGGUGUAUCAAUGUGUUAGAGUGACAGACAAAACAAAUGGACUAGGUAUAUCAAUGUGUUAGAGUGACAGACAAAACAAAUGGACUAGGUAUAUCAAUGUGUUAGAGUGACAGACAAAGCAAAUGGACUAGGUAUAUCAAUGUGUUAACGUGAGUGACAGACAAAACAGAUGGAAUAGGUGUAUCAAUGUGUUAACGUGAGUGACAGACAAAACAAAUGGACUAGGUAUAUCAAUGUGUUAGAGUGACAGUCAAAACAAAUGGACUAGGUAUAUCAAUGUGUUAGAGUGACAGACAAAGCAAAUGGACUAGGUAUAUCAAUGUGUUAACGUGAGUGACAGACAAAACAAAUGGACUAGGUAUAUCAAUGUGUUAACGUGAGUGACAGACAAAACAAAUGGACUAGGUAUAUCAAUGUGUUAGAGUGACAGACAAAACAAAUGGACUAGGUAUAUCAAUGUGUUAUAGUGACAGACAAAACAGAUGGAAUAGGUGUGUCAAUGUGUUAACGUGAGUGACAGACAAAACAAAUGGACUAGGUAUAUCAAUGUGUUAAAGUGACAGACAAAGCAAAUGGACUAGGUGUGUCAAUGUGUUAACGCGGACGGAUAUAUAUAUUUUUGCCACAUGAAAUUAUUUGAAUUAUUAAGUUGCUUCCCCCUUUUCAUCUGAUUACUGUUGUUACAUAUGUAUUUGCUAUUAAUAACAGUUCACCAUUAAUAUGUUUUGUAGAAGGCGAACAAUUUACCAUAAAUAUGUUUUGUAGAAGGGAGCAACUUAUCAUUAAUAUGUUUUGUAGAAGGCGAACAAUUUACCAUUAAUAUGUUCUGUUGAAGGCGAACAAUUUAUCAUUAAUAUGUUCUGUUGAAGGCGAACAAUUUACCAUUAAUAUGUUUUGUAGAAGGCGAACAAUUUACCAUUAAUAUGUUUUGUAGAAGGCGAACAAUUUACCAUUAAUAUGUUCUGUUGAAGGCGAACAAUUUACCAUUAAUAUGUUUUGUAGAAGGCGAACAAUUUACCAUUAAUAUGUUUUGUAGAAGGCGAACAAUUUACCAUUAAUAUGUUCUGUAGAUGGCGAACAAUUUACCAUUAAUAUGUUUUGUAGAAGGCGAACAAUUUACCAUUAAUAUGUUCUGUUGAAGGCGAACAAUUUACCAUUAAUAUGUUUUGUAGAAGGCGAACAAUUUACCAUUAAUAUGUUCUGUAAAAAGCGAACAAUUUACCAUUAGUAUGUACUGUAAAAAGCGAACAAUUUACCAUAAAUAUGUUCUGUAGAUGGCGAACAAUUUACUAUUAUUAUGAAUUGUUGAAGGCGAACAAUUUACUAUAAAUAUGUACUGUAAAAAGCGAACAAUUUACCAUAAAUUUACUAUUAUUAUGAAUUGUUGAAGGCGAACAAUUUACUAUAAAUAUGUACUGUAAAAAGCGAACAAUUUACCAUAAAUUUACUAUUAUUAUGAAUUGUUGAAGGCGAACAAUUUACUAUAAAUAUACAUGUAUACUAUACAAGGGGAAUAAUUUACCAUUUGUACAUAUUGUAGAAUGGGAACAAUGUAUCAAUAUUAUUUAGUGUAGAAAGUGAACAAUUUACCAGAAUCAUUCCUUGCCAUGUUUCGAUUCUGGUUGCCGUUAUUACACAAUACCAUAGUUACUAAGAUAGACGUUCUACUCAUAAUCAAAAUUCCCACUUGGCCACUUGUAUAUGAGAGGUCUAUAUGAACGGUGUAUAUGAGAAGUGUAUAUGAGAGGUGUAUAAUGAGGGUUGUAUAUAGGAGGUGUAGAUGAGAAGUGUAUAUGAGGGGUGUAUAUAAGGGUUUAUAUAAGGGGUGUGUGUGGGAGGUGUAAAUGAGGGUUGUAUAUGAGUGGAGUAUAUGAGGGGUGUAUAUGAAAGGUGUUUAUGAGAAGUGUAUAUGAGAAGUGUAUAUGAGACGUGUAUAAUGAGGGUUGUAUAUAGGAGGUGUAGAUGAGAAGUGUAUAUGUAAGGUGUAUAUGAGGGUUUAUAUAAGGGGUGUGUGUGGGGGAGGUUUAAAUGAGGGUUGUAUAUGAGUGGAGUAUAUGAGGGGUGUAUAUGAGAGGUGUAUAUGAGAAGUGUGUAUGAGAAGUGUAUAUGAGGGG